rnacentral:rRNA from 1 species
GAUCAUGGCUCAGAGCGAACGCUGGCGGCGUGCCUAACACAUGCAAGUCGAACGUGAAAAGGGGCAACCCUGAGUAAAGUGGCGUACGGGUGAGUAACACGUAGGUAAUCUACCCCGAAUCUGGAAUAACCUGCCGAAAGGCGGGCUAAUACUGGAUAGAGCGAUGGAACUCGUAAUUGGGUUUUUCGGAAAGGGAGCUCGCAAGAGCCUUCGUUUUGGGAUGAGCCUGCGUCUGAUUAGCUAGUUGGCGGGGUAAUGGCCCACCAAGGCGAUGAUCAGUAGCUGGUCUGAGAGGAUGAUCAGCCACACUGGAACUGAAACACGGUCCAGACUCCUACGGGAGGCAGCAGUGGGGAAUCUUGCGCAAUGGACGAAAGUCUGACGCAGCCACGCCGCGUGAGUGAAGAAGGCCUUCGGGUUGUAAAGCACUGUCGGCCGGGACGAAAAUACUUAAGGUGAAUAGCCUUAGGGACUGACGGUACCGGCAAAGGAAGCACCGGCUAACUCUGUG